rnacentral:rRNA from 1 species
CCUACGGGUGGCAGCAGUGGGGAAUAUUGCACAAUGGGGGAAACCCUGAUGCAGCGACGCCGCGUGAGUGAAGAAGUACCUCGGUGUGUAAAGCCCUAUCAGCAGGGAAGAAAAUGACGGUACCUGAAUAAGAAGCCCCGGCUAACUACGUGCCAGCAGCCGCGGUAAUACGUAGGGGGCAAGCGUUAUCCGGAUUUACUGGGUGUAAAGGGGGCGUAGACGGCAGUGCAAGUCUGGAGUGAAAGGCGGGGGCGCAACCCCGGGACUGCUCUGGAAACUGUACGGCUGGAGUGCAGGAGGGGUAGGCGGAAUUCCUGGUGUAGCGGUGAAAUGCGUAGAUAUCAGGAGGAACACCAGUGGCGAAGGCGGCCUACUGGACUGUAACUGACGUUGAGGCUCGAAAGCGUGGGGAGCAAACAGGAUUAGAUACCCGUGUAGUC